rnacentral:tRNA from 2 species
GCGGGUUUAGCUCACCCGGUAGAGCGUCUGCUUCCCAAGCAGAAGGUAGCGAGUUCGAGUCUCGUAACCCGCUCCA